CUUGGACAGUGUGUGUGGGAGCAGAGGGGACCCUGACCUUCCUGUGAAGUGUCAUGAGCCCAUAAGGACAGUUGGCUGAUGGCCUGGGCACCUGUCCAGCUACAAUCUCCAUGCUGCAUCUUAGGAGCAAGAGAAAUUGAGAGGAGAUUCAGGGUUUGUGUUUGUGGCUUAGGGGGAUGGGACACAGCAGGAGGCAGGGGCUCAGCAGCCAGAAGCCCUUGGUUAACAGGAAAUGGCCCGGUGUCAGAGCCCAGCUUCUUCAUGUCCUUGGCUGCCACAUUGAAGAGGAGGUGACAAAUCCCUGAGAGCAGUCACGGGUCACUUCCUGGCCUUUACCCUGGGCCACCACCUUGGGGUCUGUAUACCGAAGCCUCGGUCCCAUGAACCAGCUUGUGAACUAACUUCUGCGGUGUACGUGUAGACUCUGGCACAAACAUGAGGAUGGAUCUCUUGUGCCGUCCAGGAGAGAAGGGUCUGUGAAGAAUUGUGCUGGGAAUUGCAUUGAAUCUGUAGAUUACUGACUGACCCUUUCUUCCCAUCAACUCCUUCUGGAAAGUGAAGAUCCAGGACUCUAGAGGACAUGUUCAGUGAUGGCAUCAUCUCCACCAAAGGCUAUGAGUAUGAGCAGCUUCACUUUUAUCCCGCUGGAACUUGCCUGUCACUGCCUGCCACCAUUGAUGUCUCGUCCCCGAAUGCUGCAGAAGGGGAAAACAUUCAUCUCCUUGUUCAUAAUCUGCCAGAGAACCUUGGAACCCUUUCCUGGUGUGGCAAAGAACUGAGGACCAGGGUUGCCUGCUCUCUCUGGGAUGAAGGAACUGGCUUGGAGUUCCUUGGCCCCUGAGGAACGAGGAGGUUACUGAGCACAGGCGGAGAGCUGGUACCCUAGCAGAAUCUGUGGAACAGUUGGUGAUGUGAUCCAAACUCCUUCUGUCUUUCAAUCAUUGUGCACAGAUUUGAUUUAAUAAAAGUCUCCACACCACACAGUGAGCAGCAAGGCUGAGAAGUGUCUGUGCCCUGAGAGAGAGGCAGCUCACCCCAAGGAUGGCCUCUGCUGAGUCCUGACCUCGGUCUGUCAGAACCAGAGAAGGAACCACUGGCUUCUCAACGUGAUCUUUGUGACAUAAAAAUCCCCGUUGUUCUUCUGGGCUGCCCUGAGUUUACACCCAACAUGCAGAGAUAUCUCCCAGGCCUAGGAUGGGACUAAGUGGAUGACGACUGCGUGAAGGAACUUAACCAUGAUCACAGAGUUCGGUUCCAGAUGUCCAUCAGGUGAGUCAGACGUCCCCUCGAGGCUCCUACAGACUCCUGACUACACUGACUCUUUCCUGUCUCUUAUGCAUUGGUGUGAACGUAUCAGAUCCCCUGGAACUGAAGCUACAAUCAGCUGUGAGCUGCCAGGUCCUCUGGAAGAGCAGCGAGUGCGCUUAACCGCUGAGCCAUCUCUCCAGCCCCUCUCUCUCCCUGCUCAAGACCCUUCCAGCUGCCUCUGGCUGUUCUCUCCUCAUAUCUGCAAUAAAAUCCUCUCC
rnacentral:lncRNA from 1 species